AUUAAAGACGAGUUUCGGCGCAUUACAACAGUAGCCCUGGAAGAGACUUUUAUGCGGAAACUUGAUUGGUACACACCACGUCUUCUGCAGCUAAUGCGUUCCAAAGUCACUGAGUGUUGAGAGAAAAAGGGAUGCUGUUGUCCGUUGUCUCAUUGAGUACCUUGGAGAACACCAAGAAGAGCUCUUCCAAACUUGCCAGGAUGAACCUGAGGACUCCACGAACCACACUAUGAAGGUGCUCAUGAUCCAUAAUUCCACAGCUGAGGAGGAUCCAGUAAAUGUGUCUAUUAUGAUAGAGGGAAUCCAAGUGCUGAAUGGAUGUGGAAACAGAACCAAGGCGUGUAUGCUGUUAAUGGGCUUGAUCUAUGCCCUCAACCUUGAGUAUCCCAGGAAUCUCAAGUACACGUUUGAAGUAUUCCAGAAACUGUUUUUGGAACUUGAUGGAGCAAAACUGCUCAAGAAAGUCCACAGCCUCAAAAGUAAGCUAAUGGAGUGAACUGUUGUGUGAGAAACAUGGACUGUUUCCUUGGUAAGUAGGCAGUCUGAUGUUUUUUGGGGUUGUCUACAUAUUUAGUUCUUAGCAUUACAAAUGUUUUGAUUGAACCACAUGCAACUUCUGAUUGUGACACUGUUUCCUUUUUAAAGGUUUCUGUUUAUACCUGUUAUGAGAGACAGUAUUGUAAAACAGCACAACUCUCUCUCUCUCACACACACACACACAAACUUGUCACAGGGAGAGACAGGCAAUGCAAUUUAAAUAGCAUAACACAAACACAUACAAAACAUCACUUGCACACGCUCAAACAUAUACACUGUCAUAUACGAAAACACAAACACACACAACUGCUUACUGAUGCCUUUCACAGGUAGAGAAGGAAAACAUUGUUAAAACAUCACACACACUUACAGGGAAAGAUGGGGAACACUGUUGAAACAGCAAAUAACACUCAGAAACACAGUCAGUUCAGACACACAUCACUUGCACAUGCUCAAUCAUGCACACGAACAAACAUUAAAAAUUUUCUUUCAUAUAGAAAAUUUACGUUUAUGAUUUAUCUUGUUUUACUACAGUUUCUUAUCUUGUUUUACUACAAAAUAACAGCAGAAUUUACAAUUUUGUAGUUGUGUUUUAUUUUCAUUGCUAAUUUGCCUCUAUCAAAAUGCAAGAAAGGCAGAGGCUCCCUUAGAUAAUAAAAAUUUUAAAAAAGAAAAACCUAAAAAAAUAACCAACUUGAAAUAUGUUUGUUUUUGGCAGACCUGCUUAUCAUUCAUGUAAUGUUAUGCCAUGUUACAAUAAAAAAUUACAUGAUUUUGGAAA